rnacentral:lncRNA from 1 species
CGGUCACAUAUAUUUUCUAAAUCAUUGGCACAAAGGGUUCCUUUGUUAUUUUUUAACAUACAUCUUGAUACUCCUGCAAAUAUUCUAAUAAAAAUGUGAAAGAAAUACAGAAUUCGUAUCAGGAGAUCUGCCUUAUAAAAGGUAGACAACUACUUUAUUUUUUCUGUGAUCAUUUUUGAAGUUGAAAGAUGGAAAUCAAGCAUGAAAGCACUUGUGUAAAUUGCUAGGACUGCUCAUACUUUGGUUGCAAAAGAAACAAGGAAAAAGUAGGCAAAUCUCAAUACAAAAGCCUAUAUAUUAGUUUGCCAAAUCUCGAUUAUAGCUAUUCAAGGGAAGAAUCAGUAGCGUUAACCGAUCGAGAAAAAGCAAGAAUAUCAUCAGAGUGUUGAGCAACAUCACUCUUCUUGCUCUUAUUCUUCUCAUCAUCAUCUUGUUUGACAACAAGGGAAGGGAGUCACGGAUUACCUCCUUGGCCUUCCCCAUGGGAUCACACCUCUUAUCAUCUCCCCUAUCUUCUUCUUCUUUCAUGCCCUUCAACUUGCUUUCAUUUGCACCUUCCAUUUUUUUUCGAUCCAUGAUAUGUAUAUAUCCAUCUCUUUAUUUAUCAGCUUUCACCAGCCCACUCUGCUCUGGGGCGUUUGGACACGUG